ACUAAAUACAUCCAAUAUUUGUGGCUGAGGCUUGUGCUAAUGGCAAAUAUAAUUGCCUCCUAAAACUGCCACAUGGAUUUGAAUCUCGGUGAAACAGAGUAUGUAAUGUGUCUGACUAGGGUGUGUCACUGUGUUGUAUUGACAAAAAAAAAGUUACAUCCAAUAUUUGAAGUAUAUGUUUCAUAACGCAUAAAAUUUCCCGAAACGUCAGAAAAUCAAUUUUCCCAACACCAAACAAAUAAAUAACAAAACAGGAAAGGAAAAAAAAAUCCCAAAACGUUGCGCUGAUUCUGCAGCAGCAAUAGAGGAACUCUUCGUAGCUAUACUUUCGAUGCUUCUGGUUGUAGCACUGAUUCCACUGUACUUAUGGAAACGCAGCCAGGAUUCUCAACCACAUCCUCACGCCGAUGAACCGGUCCAGGCUCCCCGGAGAGAAGCGGUGGUGCGCCCAGCCGGAAACCGCCGAAUGCGUCGGAGACCUGCUGCAUCUGGAGCUAGCACUCGACAGCUACGCCUGCAACUGCCGAAGGUUUGUUGUACAUUUGGAUCGAGCUGAUUCAUUUUUACUUGCGUUUGGGCGUAUUUCUUUGCAUUUGAAUGCAAUUAUUUUGUAAAUUAAAAUUCUAGGAGAUGUAAUUCGAAUUAGAAUGGAGAAUUAGGGUGUUUGUCAUUAGGCUGUUAGUAUGUGAUGUGAAGACUUGAUGUGUACACCGAUAUAAGAAUAUUUAGUCAAAUAUGUUAACUUAUUUUUUAAAUUUCAGGUAAUAACGUGAGAAUGUUAAUUUAAUAUUAUUUUUA